rnacentral:rRNA from 1 species
AAGCGUCUGCAGGUGUCUGUCCACGUCUGGCGUUAAAUGGCAGGGCUCAACCCCGUCACUGUGCCGGAUACGAGACAGAUCGAGUCACUCAGAGGCAUCUGGAAUGUCGUGUGUAGGGGUAAAAUCCGUAGAUACACGAUGGAACGCCAAAAGCGAAGGCAGGAUGCUAGGAGUGCACUGACACUCAGAGACGAAAGCGUGGGGAGCAAAGGGGAUUAGAUACCCCCGUAGUCCACGCCCUAAACGAUGCGAGCUCGGUGUAGGAAUUUUUCAAUCGAUUCCUGUGCCCUAAGCUUACGCGGUAAGCUCGCCGCCUGGGAAGUACGGCCGCAAGGCUAAAACUCAAAGGAAUAGACGGGGACCCACACAAGCGGUGGAGCAUGGGGUUUAAUUCGAUGACAAGCGAAGCACCUCACCCAGGCUUGACAUCCAGGGAAUCCGGCCGAAAGGUUGGAGUGCCGCAAGGAAUCCUGAGACAGGCGGUGCACGGUCGUCGUCAGCUCGUGCCUUGAGGUGUACUGUUCAGUCAGCCAACGAGCGCAACCCUCAUCCUAUGUUGUAUUUUCAUGGGAGACUGCCGCCUCCAAGGCGGAGGAAGGUGAGGAUGACGUCAGAUCAGCGUGCCCUUUAUGCCUGGGGCAACACCCGUGCUACAAUGGUCGGUACAAACGGCAGCGAACCCGCGAGGGGGAGCAAAUCCGAAAAAACCGGGCCUCAGUUCGGAUUGCAGUCUGCAACUCGACUGCAUGAAGUUGGAAUCGCUAGUAACCGUGAAUCAGCUACGUCACGGUGAAUAUGUUCCUGGG